UGGGGAAUCUUCCGCAAUGGACGAAAGUCUGACGGAGCAACGCCGCGUGAGUGAAGAAGGCCUUCGGGUCGUAAAGCUCUGUUAUUAGGGAAGAACGUAUGGUGUGUGAAUAAUGCAUCGUAGUGACGGUACCUAAGGAGGAAGCCACGGCUAACUACGUGCCAGCAGCCGCGGUAAUACGUAGGUGGCGAGCGUUGUCCGGAAUUAUUGGGCGUAAAGCGCGCGCAGGUGGGAUCAUAAGUCUUUUGUAAAAGUGCGGGGCUCAACCCCGUAAAGCGACGGAUACUGUGAUUCUUGAGUGCAGGAGAGGAAAGCGGAAUUCCCAGUGUAGCGGUGAAAUGCGUAGAUAUUGGGAGGAACACCAGUGGCGAAGGCGGCUUUCUGGACUGUGUCUGACACUGAGGCGCGAAAGCUAGGGGAGCGAACGGG
rnacentral:rRNA from 2 species